UACGGAGGGUGCAAGCGUUGUCCGGAUUUAUUGGGUUUAAAGGGUGCGUAGGCGGUUCUUUAAGUCUGGGGUGAAAGCCCGAUUGCUUCAACAACGGAACUGCCCCUGGAAACUGGAGGACUUGAGUACAGACGAGGGUGGCGGAAUGGAUGCUGUAGCGGUGAAAUGCAUAGACAGCAUCCAGAACCCCGAUUGCGAAGCAGACAUG
rnacentral:rRNA from 1 species